CCCAGACUCCUACGGGAGGCAGCAGUGGGGAAUAUUGCACAAUGGGGGGAACCCUGAUGCAGCGACGCCGCGUGGGUGAAGGAGUACUUCGGUACGUAAAGCCCUAUCAGCAGGAAAGAAAAUGACGGUACCUGACUAAGAAGCCCCGGCUAACUACGUGCCAGCAGCCGCGGUAAUACGUAGGGGGCAAGCGUUAUCCGGAUUUACUGGGUGUAAAGGGAGCGUAGACGGCAGUGCAAGUCCGGAGUGAAAGCCCGGGGCUCAACCCUGGGACUGCUCUGGAAACUGUAAAGCUGGAGUGCGGGAGGGGCAGGCGGAAUUCCUGGUGUAGCGGUGAAAUGCGUAGAUAUCAGGAGGAACACCGGCGGCGAAGGCGGCCUGCUGGACCGUAACUGACGUUGAGGCUCGAAAGCGUGGGGAGUAAACAGGAUUAGAUACCCGAGUA
rnacentral:rRNA from 1 species